rnacentral:lncRNA from 1 species
CUAGGAAAGAAAAAAAAAGAAAGAGAAGAAGGAGAAGAAGAAGAAGAGGAAGGAGAAGAAGGGAAGAAAGAAGAAGAAAGAGAAGGAGAAGACUAAGAAGAAGAAGAAGAAGACAUCUUCUUCUCUCCCUCUCCCUCAAGCUUGAAGGAGUCUUGAAGAGAGGUAAGUUCUAAACCCUUUAAUGGUGUUUCUAGGGUUUUGGGUUUUUAGGGUUUAGAAUCGGUUCGAAUGGAA